GGUCACGUGGCCUAAUGGUUAAGGCGCUGGUUUUCGGCGUAGCUAUUCACCAGAGAUUGGGGGUUCGAGUCCUCCCGUGAUCG